AUCGGNUGAGUACACUUUAAAUCCUUUAACGAGUAUCCAUUGGAGGGCAAGUCUGGUGCCAGCAGCCGCGGUAAUUCCAGCUCCAAUAGCGUAUAUUAAAGUUGUUGCGGUUAAAAAGCUCGUAGUUGGACUUGUGUCCCACGCUGUCGGUUCACCGCCCGUCGGUGUUUAACUGACAUGUAUCGUGGGACGUCCUGCCGGUGGUGGCGAGUCGAAAGAUCGCGCUCCCGCGGUUCAUACCGUGGGUCGGUUGCGGUUCGUAGACGGACCCCGAUGAAAUCCUACCGCGGUGCUCUUCAACGAGUGUCGAGGUGGGCCGGCACGUUUACUUUGAACAAAUUAGAGUGCUUAAAGCAGGCCUGAUGCGCCUGAAUACUGUGUGCAUGGAAUAAUGGAAUAGGACCUCGGUUCUAUUUUGUUGGUUUUCGGAACCCGAGGUAAUGAUUAAUAGGGACAGUCGGGGGCAUUCGUAUUGCGACGUUAGAGGUGAAAUUCUUGGAUCGUCGCAAGACGGACCGAAGCGAAAGCAUUUGCCAAGUAUGUUUUCAUUAAUCAAGAACGAAAGUUAGAGGUUCGAAGGCGAUCAGAUACCGCCCUAGUUCUAACCAUAAACGAUGCCAGCUAGCGAUCCGCCGAAGUUCCUCCGAUGACUCGGCGGGCAGCUCCCGGGAAACCAAAGCUUUUGGGUUCCGGGGGAAGUAUGGUUGCAAAGCUGAAACUUAAAGGAAUUGACGGAAGGGCACCACCAGGAGUGGAGCCUGCGGCUUAAUUUGACUCAACACGGGAAACCUCACCAGGCCCGGACACUGGAAGGA
rnacentral:rRNA from 1 species